rnacentral:lncRNA from 1 species
GGCAGAGGGGCCCAGUCUAGUCUGUGACCUGAGCCAUCAUGGUAGGGUGUCCAGGGUGAGGGGAGGGUGGUGUGAAUCCCCAGUAAUGCAGGUCCUUUCCAGGCCAGGCCCCUGGUCCCCAGGAGUGCGGGGAUGCCUGAGGUCUACUGCUGCCUUAUCCAGAGCUGCCAUCCCCGGCGAUGACUCAGAGUUCCUGUGGCCCCAGCAUCAUCCCUCCAUCCCUGGCUGUGAGGCAGGAGCAGAGUUGCAGACCUGAGAGGCCUUGAAUUUGUUUGAUAUAGGACUUUGCCACCAGACAAAGUGCUUUGCCUGUGAGGUCUGGCUUGGCCUGGCCUCUGAGAAAGAACAAACACAGACCUCACUGGAAGGAACCUGGAGAACGGGAGAGGAGAGGCUGCUGCUGUCUGCCCUCCCAGCAGCAGAUAUAAAGACAAUGGGCUUCUAAGUCCCCUAGAGUCCCAGCUGUGUAAUUUAAGGCAAAUAUAAUUUCUGACCUACGUAAUGAUGUAUGCACAAGAAGCCUCUCUUGAAUGUAUUAAUUCAGUAAACAGUUAUGGAGUCCUUACAAUGUGCUAGUGGGACUUUGAAGAUGAAUCCAAAUUUGGAUCCUGGCCUGGAAAGGCUCAAAGCCCAAUAUGGGAGUGAUUCUGAGCAGAAACAAAGGGGAACGUAUGUCUUCAUUGUGACUCAGCGAGCAAAGAGAUGGAGUCUUUUCCAAGAAGAAAGUGGGAGAUUUGGGACCACUGACAUAUUUGGCCCACUGAUUCCAUUCCCCUAGACCAACACGUGUUCAUCAAAUUGCAUCACUCUUAUGGGGAACUUAAUGCAACUCCGGUGCCCAUUGCAUUAGUUUUUGAUGAUGGAAUUCUCUUUGUGAACUUGAACUUGAGGGGUCUGGCUACCCCUCUGAGACUUCUUUUUUGAGAUAAAAUCAUAUAACAUAAAAUUCGCCCUUUUAAUGUGUACAA